rnacentral:rRNA from 1 species
GAUGAACGCUGGCGGCGUGCCUAAUACAUGCAAGUCGAGCGAACAGACGAGGAGCUUGCUCCUCUGACGUUAGCGGCGGACGGGUGAGUAACACGUGGAUAACCUACCUAUAAUACUGGGAUAACUUCGGGAAACCGGAGCUAAUACCGGAUAAUAUAUUGAACCGCAUGGUUCAAUAGUGAAAUACGGUUUUGCUGUCACUUAUAGAUGGAUCCGCGCCGCAUUAGCUGGUUGGUAAGUUAACGGCUUACCAGGGCAACGAGGCGUAGCCGACCUGAGGGGGGGUAGGCCGCAAGAGGAAGUGAGCGGCCGCCCAGAGCCUGAGGGACGGCCGAGACAGCGAAGUGUCGCAACAGGGGGAAAGCUUGCCGAAGGAACGGAGGCGUGAUGCAGAAACGCUGCGGGCGGGAAAACGUUCUUCUGGGGGAAAACCAAAUUCGCAGGUAACUAAGCGUGUGUGACGGUAACGUAUAAAGAAGCACCGGCUAACUACGUG